AAAAAAUAAUGCAUCGCCCAAGCCCAGGCCCGACCUGAAAGACGGCAGGGCGCAUAUGAUGGUUAUGAGUGGAACUUAAUAAACAUUUACAAUUUCACACUUCACACACUAGUACAAACUAAUGCUUAUAUCAUACAAAGUUUCCUCAAACUAUACAAAGUUUCCUCAAACUUUUCAUUCAAUUUCCAACAACAACUGUUAGACUAACGACUAUUGUCUGCUCCAAUGUGUGGUGUGAGAGAAGCUAAUUCAACUAGAUGGAGAAUCAUGUUGAAG
rnacentral:lncRNA from 1 species